rnacentral:rRNA from 1 species
CCUACGGGCGGCAGCAGUGGGGAAUAUUGGACAAUGGGGGGAACCCUGAUCCAGCCAUGCCGCGUGUGUGAAGAAGGCCCUCGGGUUGUAAAGCACUUUCAGUGAGGAAGAACGCCUGGUGGUUAAUACCCAUCAGGAAAGACAUCACUCACAGAAGAAGCACCGGCUAACUCCGUGCCAGCAGCCGCGGUAAUACGGAGGGUGCGAGCGUUAAUCGGAAUUACUGGGCGUAAAGCGCGCGUAGGUGGCUUGACAAGCCGGUUGUGAAAGCCCCGGGCUCAACCUGGGAACGGCAUCCGGAACUGUCAAGCUAGAGUGCAGGAGAGGAAGGUAGAAUUCCCGGUGUAGCGGUGAAAUGCGUAGAGAUCGGGAGGAAUACCAGUGGCGAAGGCGGCCUUCUGGACUGACACUGACACUGAGGUGCGAAAGCGUGGGUAGCAAACAGGAUUAGAUACCCGAGUAGUC